rnacentral:rRNA from 1 species
GACGAACGCUGGCGGCGUGCUUAACACAUGCAAGUCGAACGGAAAGGCCCUGCUAUUGUGGGGUGCGCGAGGGGCGAACGGGUGAGUAACACGUGAGUAACCGGCCCUUGACUUUGGGAUAACUUCAGGAAACUGGGGCUAAUACCGGAUAGGAACUCUUUCUGCAUGGUGGGGGUUGGAAAGUUUCGGCGGUUGGGGAUGGACUCGCGGCUUAUCAGCUUGUUGGUGGGGUAGUGGCUUACCAAGGCUUUGACGAGUAGCCGGCCUGAGAGGGUGACCGGGCACAGUGGGCCAGAGAUACGCGCCAGGCUGCUGAGGGGAGAAGGAGUGGGGGAUAGAGCACGAUGGGCGGAAGCGUGGUGCAGCAACGCCGGGUGUGGGAGGACGGCCUUCGGGUAGUAAAAGGAUUACGUCUGUGACGAAGCGUGAGGAAGGGAAAUGAAUAAUGAAGCCCGGCUAACUUAGGG